rnacentral:tRNA from 1 species
GGAGACGUAUCGAAGUGGCUGUAACGAGCCUGACUCGAAAUCAGGUUGCCAGCAAUGGCACAUGGGUUCGAAUCCCAUCGUCUCCG